UGCAUUCAAUUCUGUAAGUCGCUCUGGAUAAGAGCGUCUGCUAAAAUGACUAAAA
rfam:Salmo salar isolate Sally breed double haploid chromosome ssa20, whole genome shotgun sequence.